rnacentral:rRNA from 1 species
AUGCUUGUUGAGGCAAACAAGCAUGAACAAUAUCAUAUUGUUUACAAGCUUCUUCAGUUGGUAUUGAUUCUCCCAAUAGCUACUGCUAGUGUUGAAAGGGUAUUCUCUUCAAUGAGCUAUAUGAAGAAUAAGCUAAGGAACAAAAUGGGUGAUGAAUAUUUGAACGAUUGUUUGGUUACAUUUGUUGAGAGAGAAUUUUUUAAUCAAGUGAAGGAUGAAGAUGUCAUCAAUCUCUUCCAGAAAGGCGACCGCAAAGUUAUAUUGUAA